CCUGCCUCAGCCUCCCAAGUAGCUGGGCUUAUAGGCGUGCACCACCAUGCCUGGCUAAUUUUUGUAUUUUUAGUAGAAAUGGGUUUUCUCCAUUUUGGCCAGGCAGGUCUUGAACUCCUAACCUCAAGUGAUCCACCUGCCUUGGCCUCCCAAAGUGCUGGGAUUGCAGAUAUGAGCCACCAUGCCUGGCACAUUUUUUUUUAAGAUAGGGUCUUGCUCUAUUGCCCAGGCUGGAGUGCAGUGGUGUGAUGACAGCUCACUCUAGCCUCAAACUCUUAGGCUCAAGUGAUCCUCCUGCCUCAGCUUCCUGAAUAGCUAGGACUACAAAUGCACAUCACCAUGCCCUGAUAAUUUUUUUAUUUUUAAUUAUUUGUUGUAGAGACAGGGUCUUGCUCUGAUGCCCAGGCUGGGUGUCAAACUCCUGGCCUCAAGUGAUCCUCCCAACUCGGCCUUCCAAGGCAUUGAUAUUCUAGGCAUGAGCCACCACUCCUGGCCAGCAUAGCUUCUAUUAAAUUGUUACUGCUGGCAGGGCACAGUGGCUCAGGUCUGUAAUCCUAAGCACUUUGGGAGGCUAAGGCAGACGGAUCGCUUGAGCUGAGGAGUUUGAGACCAGCCUGGGCAACAUGGUAAAACCCCAUCUCUACAAAAAAAUACAAAAAAUUAGCCAGGUGUGGUGGCAUGCACUUGUAGUUUCAGCUACUUGGGGGUCUGAAGUGGGAGGACUGCUUGAGCCCAGGAGUUUGAGUCUGCAGUGAGCUGAGAUUGUGCCACUGCAUUCCAGCUUCAGUGACAAAGAGACCCUGUCUCAAAAAAACAAAAAAGGAUGGGCAUGGUGGCUCACACCUGUAAUCCCAGCACUUUUCGGAGGCUGAGGUGGGUGGAUUACAUGAGGUCAGGAGUUUGAAACCAGCCUGGCCAAUGUGGUGAAACCCUGUCUCUACUAAAAAUACAAAAAUUAGCUGGAUGUGGUGGCACACACCUGUAGUUCCAUCUACUUGGGAGGCUGAGGCAAGAGAAUCACUUCAACCUGGAUGGUGGAGGUUGCAGUGAGCCGAGAUUGCGCCACUGCACUCCAGCCUGGGUGACAGAGUGAGACUCCAUCUCAAAACAACAACAACAACCACCAAAAAAAAAAAAAACAGGCUGACAGGCCAGGUGUGGUGGCUGACGCCUGUAAUCCCAGCACUUUGGGAGGCCGAGGCAGGCGGAUCACCUGAGGUCAGGAGUUGGAGACCAGCCUGGCCAACAUGGUGAAACCCUGUCUUUACUAAAAAUACAAAAAUUAGCUGGGUGUGGUGGCACUAGCCUGUAGUCCCAGCUACUCAGGAGGCCAGGAGGCUGAGGCAGGAGAUUUGCUUGAACCCUGGAGGAGGAGGCUACAGUGAGCCGAGAUCACACCACUGCACUCCAGCCUGGGCGACAGAGACAGACUCCAUCUCAAAAAAAAAAAAAAGAAAGAAAGAAACAAACGGUGUUAUAGCUCUAGCUCUUUUGGAAUUUAUCCAGCAGGCUUUCUGGCAUUUGCCAGAAAGCCCUGCCCCCCAAAAGUCAAUAAAAAACCAAAAACAUGUUACUGCUACAGAAGUUAUAGACCAUGGAACACAAUUUGAGGAGCACAGAUUUAGGUUACUUAAAGUUUUCUUUUUUUUUUGAGACAGGGUCUUGCUGUGUUACCCAGCCUCACUACACCCUUGACCUCCUGGGCUCCAGAAAUCCUCCCAUCUCAGCCUCCGAAGAAGCUGGGAUUAUAGACAUGCACUACAAUGCCAGAGACAGGAUUUCACCAUUGUUGCGGGAAGUCAGGGACCCUGAACGGAGGGACCAGCUGGAGCCUCAGCAGAGGAAACAUAAAUUGUGAAGAUUUCAUGGACAUUUAUCACUUACCUAAUAAUACUCUUAUAAUUUCUUACUCUUGUCUUACUUUACUCUCUUAAUCCUAUUAUCUCCAUAAGCUGAGGAUGUAUAUCACCUCAGGACCCUGUGAUGAUUGCGUUAACUGAACAAAUUGAUUGUAAAACAUGUAUGUUUGAACAAUAUGAAAUCAGUGCACCUUGAAAAUGAACAGAAUAACAGCGAUUUUAGGGAAUAAGGGAAGACAACCAUAAGGUCUGACUGCCUGUGGGGUCGAGCAAAAAGAGCCAUAUUUUUCUUCUUGCAGAGAGCCUAUAAAUGGAUGUGCAAGUAGGAGAGAUAUUGCUAAAUUCUUUUCCUAGCAAAGAAUAUAAUAUUAAGACCCUAGGAAAAGAAUUGCAUUCCUGGGGGGAGGUCUAUAAAUGGCCACUCUGCAAAUGUCUGUCCUAUGCGGUUGAGAUAAGGACUGGGAUACACCCUGGUCUCCUGCAGUACCUUCAGGCUUACUAGGAUUGGGAAACCCCAGCCCUGGUAAAUUUGAGGGCAGACUGGUUCUCUGCUCUCGAACCCUGUUUAUCAAGACAAUACGUGCACAGCUGAACAUAGGCCCUUAUCAGGAGUUUUUGAUUUUGCACUUUGCCUUGUGAUCUUUGCUUUGCCCUUUGCCUUGUGAUCUUUAUUGACCUCAGAAGCAUGUGAUCUCUGUGACCUACUCCCAGUACGUACACCCCCUCCCUUUUUGAAAUCCUUAAAAAAACUCUGCUGGUUUUGCGGCUCAGGUGGGCAUCACAGACCUACUGAUAUGUGAUGUCACCCGUGGAGGCCCAGCUGUAAAAUUCUUCUUUUUGUACUCUUUCUCUUUAUUUCUCAGCCAGCCGACACUUAGGGAAAAUAGAAAGAAUCUACAUUGAAAUAUUGAGGGUGGGUUCCCCUGAUACACCAUGUUGGCCAGGCUGAUCUCAAACUCCUGACCUCAAGCAAUCCACCUGCCUCAGCCUCCCAAAGUGCUGGGAUUACAGGCGUGAGCCACCAUGCCAGGCCCUAAUUUUUGUAUUUUUAGUAGAGAUGGGGUUUCACCACGUCAGCCAGGCUUAUCUCGAACUCCUGACCUCAGGUGAUCGGCCUGCCUCUGCCUCCCAAAGUGCCGAGAUUACAGGCAUGAGCCACUGUGCCCGGCCUGAAAAUGUGUAUUCUGAUAGGUUCGUGUGACACAUAGUAAUCACAGGUAUGGUCCUCAAAGCCAGACUUCCUGAGUUCCAAGGCCUGGCUCUGCCAUUUCUUAGCUAUAUCACCUUGGGCGAGUCACUUAACUUUACUGUGCUCAGGUUUCUUGAUAUAUUAAAUGGAGCUAAUUAUAGGCCCUCCUCAAGGAGUUGUGCAAAUAAUAAAUGAAUUAUGUAAAAUGCAGAAAAAAUCCUGGCAUAUUGCAGGGGCUCAAUAAGUGUUAGCUAUUAUUAUGUUCACUUAUCUGCUCACCACAUUUGCUAGUGCAUGAAUAACAAUAAUGGCUAUAGUGAUAUCAUUACCUAUAUUAUAUUUUCUUUUUUAUUUUUCUUUUCUUUUUUUUUUUUUUGAGACAGAGUCUUGCUCUGUCACCAGGCUGGAGUGCAGAGGCAUGAUCUCAGCUCGCUGAAACCUCUGCCUCCCAGGUUCCAGCGAUUCUUCUGACUCAGCCUCCUGAGUAACUGGGACCACAGGCACACGCCAUCAUGCCCAGCUAAUUUUUUGUAUUUUAGUAGAGAUGGGGUUUCACCAUGUUGGCCAGGAUGGUCUCGAUCUCCUGACCUUGUGAUCCACCCACGUCGGCCUCCCAAAGUGCCGGGACUACAGGCAAGAGCCACCAUGCCCGGCCUACCUAUAUUAUAUUUUAAUAGCUAACAUAUAUUGGGAGCUUACUCUGUGUCAGGCACUAUACUAAAUAAAUUAUCUCCCCACAAUAACUGUAUUUGGUAAGUAUUAUGAUCGUUCCUAAUUUAUAUUGGGAAUUGAAACUUUGGAGAGUUGACGUGACUUGCUUUAGAUUAAAGGCUUAGCAUCAGUAGAGCUGGGAUAAAAUCCUGGUGGUUGGAUUUGAAAGUCCCCCUUCAUAACUGUUACAUUCUGCUUGCUCAAAGGCCCAAGCCUUGAAACUUUAAAACAGGAAGAUUCCUUGAAGAUGAGCUACAGGAAUUCACUGGUGCCUCCAUUUCACUGAUGCAGAAAGGCCCAGGGGUUUGAAUGACCCACCUGAGGUCAAAUAGAUGGGAUCAGAACUGGAAUUAAAGGAAAGAGGGACAGAAGAGAGGGAUCCAGAAGGGAGAGAGAAGGAUGAGACCAAGACUUCCAUAUUGGCCAUAAAGAGGAUCAGAAUAUGCCUCUCCAAAAUAUGCCACCCCAAAAUAUACCUCUCCAAAAUAUGCCACCCCAAAAUAUGCCUCUUUGGCAUGAAGAUUAUUUUGAGAUGAUGGCAGUUGAGAAACAGCAGACACAGGAAAAGCUCUCUACCACCCUCCUUUCUGUCUAAAAGCAGGGCAUACAUUUCCUAUUGUGAAGGUUUCUCCCUCCCCUCUCUAAUCCAGGAAGAGAAAACAACUUUUUUUUGGUUUUUUGAGACAGAGUCUCGCUCUGUCACCCAGGCUGGAGUGCAGUGGCAGGAUUUUGGCCCGCUGCAACCUCCGCCCUCCAGGUUCAAGCAAUUCUCCUGCCUCAGCCUCCUGAGUAGCUGGGAUUAUAGGCGAGUACCACCACGCCCAGCUAAUUUUUGUAUUUUCAGUUGAGACAGGGUUUUAUCAUGUUGGCCAUGCUGGUCUCAAACUCCUGACCUCAACUGAUCCGCCCACCUUGGCCUCCCAAAGAGCUGGGACUACAGGCGUGAGCCACCUCACCCGGACUUCUUUCCCCCAUAUAUUUACCUUCCCAGAAUUACCUUCCCUAGAAGGCCACACCCUUUUCCUUCGUCUUUUCACUUCUCUAUAAAUGUAACGCUCUUUGUUACUAUAUAAGCUCUCAGACCUAACUGCUUCUUUAGAGUUUUACUUCUUUUUCUAUGAGAUCCCUAUGUACAUGUAAAAAUUAAAAUAUUAACAUCAAAUAAAAUGAACAUGGCUUUUUUCUGUUAAUC
rnacentral:lncRNA from 10 species